UGCCGACUUAGCUCAGUUGGCAGAGCAUCUGUCUUGUAAACAGAGGGUCGGAGGUUCGAAUCCUCUAGUCGGCAU
rnacentral:tRNA from 1 species